GAUGAAGAACGCAGCGAAAUGCGAUAAGUAAUGUGAAUUGCAGAAUUCAGUGAAUCAUCGAAUCUUUGAACGCACAUUGCGCCCCUUGGUAUUCCAUGGGGCAUGCCUGUUCGAGCGUCAUUUGUACCUUCAAGCUUUGCUUGGUGUUGGGUGUUUGUCCUGAGGGACACGCCUUAAAGUAAUUGGCAGCCAGUGUUUUGGUUUUGAAGCGCAGCACAAGUCGCGAUUCAAAGCUAUACGCCAGCUUCCACAAGCCUUUUUCACUUUUGACCUCGGAUCAGGUAGGGAUACCCGCUGAACUUAAGCAUAUCAAUAAGCGGAGGA
rnacentral:misc_RNA from 1 species